rnacentral:lncRNA from 1 species
CAGGGCCUGGCCAGUCCAGAUUCUACCUUAUCUCACUUCAGGAACAUCACAUCUUGAAGGGACACAGAGCCCCUCCACGUGAGCUCCCGUUCCUGGGAACUCUGGUCGUACCAGGGAGAGCCUCUUGGCAGGCAUAUAGCCUUUGUGUCCCCUGCCUCUCUAAGAAACCCCCUCCCCGCCCACGAUUGCAGGUGCACGUUGCUGUCCAGCUGGCCGCCACUGGACCUCCCUAGACCCCAGGCCAUUCACCGGGACACAGGCCAAAUCACCAGAGGCAACCAGCCUGCUCGAUGCUGGCAGGUGGACUACAUUGGGCCCUUGCCUCUUUCUAAUGGCUGCCAAUAUGCCCUUACUUGUGUGGACAUGUACACAGGACUCCUGCAGGCGUACCCCAGCACAAGGCAACACAAAGGACAACCAUAAGAGGCCUGGAACACCUCUGUGCUGUGUAUGAUGUGCCUGUCACAUUGACAGUGACCAAGGACAACGUCUGCCAACCUUUUCGCUGCUUGGGCACACACCGUUGCUGGCAUACAAAACCGCUCCAGCUGCUGGCCCCCCGGUACAUAGUUGUAUAUUCUUCGUUGUGGAUCCUUCUAGUUGUGGCACGUGGGACGCUGCCUCAGCGUGGUCUGAUGAGCAGUGCCAUGUCCGCGCCCAGGAUUCGAACCAACGAAACACUGGGCCGCCAGCAGCGGAGCGCACGAAUUUAACCACUCAGCCACGGGGCCAGC